UAGUGUUGCAGCACUUUUAGGAUUUGUCUAGCAAGCUUUCUGAGCUUUUGUCAGAAGCACUCCC
ensembl:snRNA U7 U7 small nuclear RNA